AGAGUUUGAUCCUGGCUCAGGAUGAACGCUAGCGGCAGGCCUAACACAUGCAAGUCGAGGGGCAGCACAGGUAGCAAUACUGGGUGGCGACCGGCGGAUGGGUGCGUAACGCGUAUGCAACCUACCAUUGAUUGGGGCAUAGCCCGAAGAAAUUCGGAUUAAUACUCCAUAAUAUUCAUCAAAGGCAUCUUUUAUGAAUUAAAGCUUUUGCGAUCAAUGAUGGGCAUGCGUGACAUUAGUUAGUUGGUGAGGUAACGGCUCACCAAAACGAUGAUGUCUAGGGGUUCUGAGAGGAUUAUCCCCCACACUGGUACUGAGACACGGACCAGACUCCUACGGGAGGCAGCAGUGAGGAAUAUUGGUCAAUGGACGCAAGUCUGAACCAGCCAUGCCGCGUGCAGGAUGACGGCCCUAUGGGUUGUAAACUGCUUUUCCACGGGAAGAACCCUCCGACGUGUCGGAGACUGACGGUACCGUGGGAAUAAGCAUCGGCUAACUCCGUGCCAGCAGCCGCGGUAAUACGGAGGAUCCUAGUGUUAUCCGGAUUUAUUGGGUUUAAAGGGAGCGUAGGCGGGAGGUCAAGUCAGCUGUGAAAUGUAUCUGCUUAACGGGUACACUGCAGUUGAAACUGGUUUUCUUGAGUGCGUAAGAGGCAGGCGGAAUUCGUUGUGUAGCGGGAAAUGCUUAGAUAUGACGAGGAACUCCUAUUGCGAAGGCAGCUUGCUGGGUCGUUACUGACGCUGAUGCUCGAAGGUGCGGGGAUCAAACAGGAUUAGAUACCCUGGUAGUCCGCACAGUAAACUAUGGAUACUCUCUGCCGGCGAUAUAUUGUCGGUGGCCAAGCGAAAGCGUUAAGUAUCCCACCUGGGGAGUACGUUCGCAAGAAUGAAACUCAAAUGAAUUGACGG
rnacentral:rRNA from 1 species